AGAGAUUGAAGGAAAGUGUAGUGUGUAAUCAGCUGAUCUAGUACUCAGGUUUAAAUAUAUAGACCCUGAAGUGCACGAAAAGAUUUCCCUGCAGAACUAUUUAGCGUAGUUGAACAUAUACUAUGCUCGACGCAUCUUCCUUCUAUUCAAUUCUCCUUGGAUUUAAACUUGAUCCAGAGGACAAAGCCAUGCGUACUCCAGAGAUGGUGCUGCUUUCAAUUUUCUCAAAACCUUAAAAUUGUACUACGCUCUCGUAUCCAAGGAAAUAUAUACAGGAACGUCU